rnacentral:rRNA from 1 species
AUGAACGCUAGCUACAGGCUUAACACAUGCAAGUCGAGGGGCAGCAUGGACCCAGCUUUGCUGGGUUUGAUGGCGACCGGCGCACGGGUGAGUAACGCGUAUCCAACCUGCCCUUUACUCCGGGAUAGUCUCCUGAAAGGGAGUUUAAUACCGGAUGUGUUUGUCUUUCCGCAUGGGAGCGACAAAUAAAGAUUAAUUGGUAAAGGAUGGGGAUGCGUCCCAUUAGCUUGUUGGCGGGGUAACGGCCCACCAAGGCGACGAUGGGUAGGGGUUCUGAGAGGAAGGUCCCCCACAUUGGAACUGAGACACGGUCCAAACUCCUACGGGAGGCAGCAGUGAGGAAUAUUGGUCAAUGGGCGGGAGCCUGAACCAGCCAAGUAGCGUGAAGGACGACGGCCCUACGGGUUGUAAACUUCUUUUAUAAGGGAAUAAAGUUCGCCACGUGUGGUGUUUUGUAUGUACCUUAUGAAUAAGCAUCGGCUAAUUCCGUGCCAGCAGCCGCGGUAAUACGGAAGAUGCGAGCGUUAUCCGGAUUUAUUGGGUUUAAAGGGAGCGUAGGCGGGCUUUUAAGUCAGCGGUCAAAUGUCGUGGCUCAACCAUGUCAAGCCGUUGAAACUGUAAGCCUUGAGUCUGCACAGGGCACAUGGAAUUCGUGGUGUAGCGGUGAAAUGCUUAGAUAUCACGAAGAACUCCGAUCGCGAAGGCAUUGUGCCGGGGCAUAACUGACGCUGAGGCUCGAAAGUGCGGGUAUCAAACAGGAUUAGAUACCCUGGUAGUCCGCACGGUAAACGAUGAAUGCUCGCUAUGGGCGAUAUAUUGUCCGUGGCCAAGCGAAAGCGUUAAGCAUUCCACCUGGGGAGUACGCCGGCAACGGUGAAACUCAAAGGAAUUGACGGGGGCCCGCACAAGCAGUGGAGUAUGUGGUUUAAUUCGAAGCAACGCGAAGAACCUUACCAAGGCUUGACAUCCCCUGACAGACAUAGAAAUAUGUUAUCUCUUCGGAGCAGGGAGACAGGUGGUGCAUGGUUGUCGUCAGCUCGUGUCGUGAGAUGUUGGGUUAAGUCCCGCAACGAGCGCAACCCUUAUCCUUUGUUGCCAGCGGUCCGGCCGGGAACUCAAAGGAGACUGCCAGUGAUAAACUGGAGGAAGGUGGGGAUGACGUCAAAUCAGCACGGCCCUUACGUCCGGGGCCACACACGUGUUACAAUGGGGGGUACAGAGGGCCGCUGUCCGGUGACGGUCGGCCAAUCCCUAAAACCCCUCUCAGUUCGGACUGGAGUCUGCAACCCGACUCCACGAAGCUGGAUUCGCUAGUAAUCGCGCAUCAGCCAUGGCGCGGUGAAUACGUUCCCGGGCCUUGUACACACCGCCCGUCACACCAUGAGAGCCGGGGGGACCCGAAGUCGGUAGUCUAACCGCAAGGAGGACGCCGCCGAAGGUAAAACUGGUGAUUGGGGUG